rnacentral:rRNA from 1 species
ACACGACUACAUUAGAUACCCCCUGUAGUCCCAGCCCUAAACGAUGCGCGUUAGGUGUAUCGGUGACCACGAGUCACCGAGGUGCCGAAGGGAAACCGUGAAACGUGCCGCCUGGGAAGUACGGUCGCAAGGCUGAAACUUAAAGGAAUUGGCGGGGAGCACCGCAACGGGAGGAGCGUGCGGUUCAAUUGGAUUCAACGCCGGACAACUCACCAGGAGCGACGGUUACAUGAAGGCCAGGCUGAUGACCUUGCCUGAUUUUCCG